rnacentral:rRNA from 1 species
GAUGAACGCUAGCGGCAGGCUUACUACAUGCAAGUCGAGGGGCAGCAUGAUUGUAGCAAUACAAUUGAUGGCGACCGGCAAACGGGUGCGGAACACGUACACAACUUUCCAACAAGUGGGGGGUAGCCCAGAGAAAUUUGGAGUAAUACUCAGUAACCUAGCGAUGUGGCAUCACAUUGCUAUUAUAUAUUUUUCGUUUGUUGAUGGGUGUGCGGCUGGUUAGAUAGUUGGCGGGGUAAGGGCGGACCAAGUCUACGAUCAGUAGCUGAUGUGAGAGCAUGGUCAGCCACACGGGCACUGAGACACGGGCCCGACUCCUACGGGAGGCAGCAGUAAGGAAUAUUGGACAAUGGACGCAAGUCUGAUCCAGCCAUGCCGCGUGAAGGAUUAAGGUCCUCUAGAUUGUAAACUUCUUUUAUAAGGAACGAAAAAAGGCUUUUCUAAGUCGUCUGACGGUACCUUAUGAAUAAGCACCGGCUAACUCCGUGCCAGCAGCCGCCGUAAAAC